rnacentral:rRNA from 1 species
CCGGCGACCGGCGCACGGGUGAGUAACACGUAUGGAACCUGCCCGCAGCAGGGGGAGUAAGCGGAAGAAAUUCCGUCUAAUACCGCGUAACAACGUUGGGAGGCAUCUCCCGAUGUUUAAAGAUUUAUCGGCUGCGGAUGGCCAUGCGGCGCAUUAGCUAGUCGGCGGGGUAACGGCCCACCGAGGCGACGAUGCGUAAGGGUUCUGAGAGGAAGGUCCCCCACACUGGUACUGAGACACGGACCAGACUCCUACGGGAGGCAGCAG